rnacentral:rRNA from 1 species
UGGGGAAUAUUGGACAAUGGGCGCAAGCCUGAUCCAGCAAUGCCGCGUGAGUGAUGAAGGCCUUAGGGUUGUAAAGCUCUUUCGCACGCGACGAUGAUGACGGUAGCGUGAGAAGAAGCCCCGGCUAACUUCGUGCCAGCAGCCGCGGUAAUACGAAGGGGGCUAGCGUUGUUCGGAAUUACUGGGCGUAAAGGGCGCGUAGGCGGCCUGUUUAGUCAGAAGUGAAAGCCCCGGGCUCAACCUGGGAACCGCUUUUGAUACUGGCAGGCUUGAGUUCCGGAGAGGAUGGUGGAAUUCCCAGUGUAGAGGUGAAAUUCGUAGAUAUUGGGAAGAACACCGGUGGCGAAGGC